CACUGCCGAGAAAAGCCUCUAGAUAGAAAAUAGGUGCCCGUACCGCAAACCGACACAGGUAGUCAAGAUGAGAAUUCUAAGGUGAGCGAGCGAACUCUCGUUAAGGAACUCGGCAAAAUGACCCCGUAACUUCGGGAGAAGGGGUGCUCUUUAGGGUUAACGCCCAGAAGAGCCGCAGUGAAUAGGCCCAAGCGACUGUUUAUCAAAAACACAGGUCUCUGCUAAACCGUAAGGUGAUGUAUAGGGGCUGACGCCUGCCCGGUGCUGGAAGGUUAAGAGGAGUGGUUAGCUUCUGCGAAGCUACGAAUCGAAGCCCCAGUAAACGGCGGCCGUAACUAUAACGGUCCUAAGGUAGCGAAAUUCCUUGUCGGGUAAGUUCCGACCCGCACGAAAGGCGUAACGAUUUGGGCACUGUCUCAACGAGAGACUCGGUGAAAUCAUAGUACCUGUGAAGAUGCAGGUUACCCGCGACAGGACGGAAAGACCCCGUGGAGCUUUACUGUAGCCUGAUAUUGAAAUUCGGCACAGCUUGUACAGGAUAGGUAGGAGCCUUUGAAACGUGAGCGCUAGCUUACGUGGAGGCGCUGGUGGGAUACUACCCUAGCUGUGUUGGCUUUCUAACCCGCACCACUUAUCGUGGUGGGA
rnacentral:rRNA from 1 species